AGGGUUCGAUUAUGGCUCAGGAUGAACGCUGACAGAAUGCUUAACACAUGCAAGUCUACUUGAACUUCGGUUUGGGUGGCGGACGGGUGAGUAACGCGUAAAGAACUUGCCUCACAGUUAGGGACAACAUUUGGAAACGAAUGCUAAUACCUGAUAUUAUGAUUUUAGGGCAUCCUAAGAUUAUGAAAGCUAUAUGCGCUGUGAGAGAGCUUUGCGUCCCAUUAGCUAGUUGGAGAGGUAACGGCUCACCAAGGCGAUGAUGGGUAGCCGGCCUGAGAGGGUGAACGGCCACAAGGGGACUGAGACACGGCCCUU
rnacentral:rRNA from 1 species